rnacentral:tRNA from 1 species
GGUCAAGUAGCCUAGUGGCUAGAGCUCACACAAUUUAAUUGUGGAGAGUGGAGUGUCCGGGGUUCGAACCCCGGCUCCUGCA